rnacentral:rRNA from 1 species
AUUGAACGCUGGCGGCAUGCUUUACACAUGCAAGUCGAACGGCAGCACGGACUUCGGUCUGGUGGCGAGUGGCGAACGGGUGAGUAAUACAUCGGAACGUGCCCAGUUGUGGGGGAUAACUACUCGAAAGAGUAGCUAAUACCGCAUGAGAACUGAGGUUGAAAGCAGGGGAUCGUAAGACCUUGCGCAACUGGAGCGGCCGAUGGCAGAUUAGGUAGUUGGUGGGAUAAAAGCUUACCAAGCCGACGAUCUGUAGCUGGUCUGAGAGGACGACCAGCCACACUGGGACUGAGACACGGCCCAGACUCCUACGGGAGGCAGCAGUGGGGAAUUUUGGACAAUGGGCGUAAGCCUGAUUCAGCAAUGCCGCGUGCAGGAUGAAGGCCUUCGGGUUGUAAACUGCUUUUGUACGGAACGAAAAGCUUCGGGCUAAUACCCUGGAGUCAUGACGGUACCGUAAGAAUAAGCACCGGCUAACUACGUGCCAGCCGCCGCGGUAACAC